CAGUAGGGAGGAAGGUAGUGUAGUUAACACCUGCAUUAUUUGACGUUACCUACAGAAGAAGCACCGGCUAACUCCGUGCCAGCAGCCGCGGUAAUACGGAGGGUGCGAGCGUUAAUCGGAAUUACUGGGCGUAAAGCGCAUGCAGGCGGCCUGUUAAGUCAGAUGUGAAAGCCCGGGGCGUUAACCUCGGAAUUGCAUUUGAAACUAGGCAGGCUAGAGUCUUGUAGAGGGGGGUAGGAAUUUCAGGUGUAGCGGUGAAAUAGCGUAGAGAUCUGAAGGAAUACCAGUGGCGAAGGCGGCCCCCUCGGACAAAGACUGACGCUCAGAUGCGAAAGCGUGGGGAGCAAACAGGAUUAGAUACCCUGGUAG
rnacentral:rRNA from 1 species